rnacentral:rRNA from 1 species
UCGGAAAGAAAGAUGUGAAAUCCCAGUGACUCAACCUUGGAACUGCAUUUUUAACUCCCGGACUAGAGUAUGUCAGAGGGGGGUGGAAUUCCACGUGUAGCAGUGAAAUGCGUAGAGAUGUGGAGGAACACCGAUGGCGAAGGCAGCCCCCUGGGAUAAUACCGACGCUCAGGCACGGAAGCGUGGGUAGCAAACAGGAUUAGAUACCCUGGUAGUCCACGCCCUAAACGAUGUCAACUAGCUGUUGGGUUCUUCGGAGCUUAGUAGCGCAGCUAACGCGUGAAGUUGACCGCCUGGGGAGUACGGUCGCAAGAUUAAAACUCAAAGGAAUUGACGGGGACCCGCACAAGCGGUGGAUGAUGUGGAUUAAUUCGAUGCAACGCGAAAAACCUUACCUACCCUUGACAUGUCUGGAAUCCCGAAGAGAUUUGGGAGUGCUCGCAAGAGAACCGGAACACAGGUGCUGCAUGGCUGUCGUCAGUUCGUGUCGUGAGAUGUUGGGUUAAGUCCCGCAACGAGCGCAACCCUUGUCAUUAGUUGCUACGAAAGGGCACUCUAAUGAGACUGCCGGUGACAAACCGGAGGAAGGUGGGGAUGACGUCAAGUCCUCAUGGCCCUUAUGGGUAGGGCUUCACACGUCAUACAAUGGUCGGGACAGAGGGUCGCCAACCCGCGAGGGGGAGCCAAUCCCA